rnacentral:rRNA from 1 species
UGAAGUAAGUAAGGGCGUACGGUGAAUGCCUUGGUGCCAACAGGCGAAGAAGGACGCGGCAAGCUGCGAAAAGCCUCGGGAAGCUGCAAGCAAGCGAUGAUCCGGGGAUAUCCGAAUGGGGUAACCUGAUCGAGGCAAUACUCGAUCGUUCAUACCUGAAUACAUAGGGUAUGAAACGCGAAACCCGCUGAAGUGAAACAUCUCAGUAAGCGGAGGAAAAGAAAGAGAAAUCGAUUCCGUAAGUAGUGGCGAGCGAAAGCGGAUGGAGCCCAAACCGAAGGUAUUCCUUCGGGGUUGUAGGACCACGUCAUAUUCGACCAUACUGGAUAGUAGAACAGCCUGGAAAGGCUGGCCGGAGAAGGUGAAAGCCCUGUAGACGAAAUCCAGAGUGGGAAUUAGUGGUAUCCUGAGUAAUACAUCACACGUGGAACGAUGUAUGAACCCGCGCGGACCACCGCGCAAGGCUAAAUACUAGUUGGCGACCGAUAGUGAACAAGUACCGCGAGGGAAAGGUGAAAAGAACCGCUGUGAGCGGAGUGAAAUAGAACCUGAAACCGUAUGUCUACAAAGUGUCAGAGCAGAGCAAUCUGCGAUGGCGUGCCUUUUGUUUAAUGAGUCUGCGAGUCAGUGUUUGUGGCAAGACUAAGGGCUUCCGGCCCGGAGUCGCAGCGAAAGCAAGUCCGAACAGGGCGCAAUAAGUCGCAGGUACUGGACCCGAAGCGGAGGUGACCUACCCUUGGCCAGGUUGAAGCAUGGGUAAAACCAUGUGGAGGACCGAACAGGUGAACGUUGAAAAGUUCUCUGAUGAGCUGAGGGUAGGAGUGAAAGGCUAAUCAAACCCCGUGAUAGCUGGUUCUCUUCGAAAUGCAUUUAGGUGCAGCGUCACGUGCUGAUGCGCGGGGGUAGAGCACUGACAAGGCUAGGGGGCACACCCGCUUACCAAACCUUAUCAAACUCCGAAUACCGUGCAAUGGAACGUGGCAGUGAGACAGUGGGGGAUAAGCUUCAUUGUCGAGAGGGAAACAACCCAGACCAGCAGCUAAGGUGCCUAAAUAACGCUCAGUGGAAAGGAUGUGGGAUUACACAGACAGUGAGGAUGUUGGCUUAGAAGCAGCCACCAUUUAAAAAAUGCGUAAUAGCUUACUCAUCGAGUGAUCCUGCGCCGAAAAUGAUUGGCGAUCAAGCGUUAUACCGAAGCUCUGGACUUUGCCGCAAGGCAGAGUGGUAGAAGAGCGUUGCAUGCGCGUCGAAGGGCGAUGGCGACUGACCCUGGAGCACAUGCAAGUGAGUAUGCAGACAUGAGUAACGUUAAGCCGGGUGAAAUCCCCGGCCGCCGUAAACCCGAGGUUUCCAGGGCAACGUGUUUCGUCCCUGGGUUAGCCGGGACCUAAGCCGAGGCCGAGAGGCGUAGGCGAUGGACAUCAGGUUAAUAAUCCUGAGCUCGCAACCCUUAAACUGGGGGGACGCAUGAGAAAAGAUGACUAGGUUAUUGAAUUCCGAGUUGAGUCUACGGACUCAGCGCAUCAUUGGAUCGAGUGCCAAGAAAAGCCCCAGCGUAUGCUAAGCGACCCGUACCGCAAACCGACACAGGUGGGUGGGUAGAAUAUACCAAGGCGUAAGAGUGAAACCUGGUUAAGGAACUCGGCAAAUUAGCCCCGUAACUUCGGAAGAAGGGGUGCCUGCAGCGAUGCAGGCCGCAGAGAAAUGGCCCAACCGACUGUUUAUCAAAAACACAGCACUCUGCAAAGACGCAAGUCGAAGUAUAGGGUGUGACACGUGACCAAUGCCGAAAGAUUAAGGCAAGGGGUUAGCCGCAAGGCGAAGCUCUAAACCCAAGUCCCGGUGAAUGUCGGCCGUAACUAUAACGGUCCUAAGGUAGCGAAAUUCCUUGUCGGGUAAGUUCCGACCUGCACGAAUCGUGAAACGAGUUGGGCACUGUCUCAACCAGGCGCUCAGUGAAAUUGUAGUGGCGGUGAAGAUGCCGCCUACCCGCAGAAGGACGGAAAGACCCUAUAGACCUUAACUGUAAGCUGUCAUUGUUUCUUCGGUUUUAAUGCUCAGAGUAAGUGGGAGACGCUGAAGACGCCCUUUAGGGGGCGUCCGAGUCAUCAAUGAGACACCACCCUUUGAAACUGGAGGAUCUAACCCUGAGCCGUGAAUCCGGCCAGAGGACCGUGUCAGCCGGUCAGUUUUACUGGGGCGGUCGCCUCCCAAAGAGUAACGGAGGAGCGCGAAGGUGGGCUCAGCCCGGUUGGCAACCGGGUGUCGAGUGCAUGGGCAUAAGCCCGCCUAACUGUGAGACCAACAAGUCGAGCAGAUGCGAAAGCAGGCCCAAGUGAUCCGGCGGUAGAAAGUGGAAUUGCCGUCGCUCAACGGAUAAAAGGUACCUUAGGGAUAACAGGCUGAUCACGCCCAAGAGUUCAUAUCGACGGAGUGGUUUGGCACCUCGAUGUCGGCUCGUCGCAUCCUGGGGCUGGAGAAGGUCCCAAGGGUCCGGCUGUUCGCCGGUUAAAGCGGCACGCGAGCUGGGUUCAGAACGUCGCGAGACAGUUCGGUCCUCUAUCCUCUGUGGGCGUUGGAAAAUUGAGGGGUUCAGACCUUAGUACGAGAGGACCGGGUCUGACGCACCACUGGUGCAUCGGUUGUACUGUCAAGUGCAUGGCCGAGUAGCUAAGUGCGGACGGGAUAAGCGCUGAAAGCAUCUAAGCGCCAAGCCCUUCCCAAGAUGAGUUUUCCCUACAGGUUCGUGGAAGACCACCACGUUGAUAGGUCGCAGGUGUAAGUGCAGCAAUGUAUUGAGCCGAGCGAUACUAAUUACCAAUUGACUUCAUCAU